UACGGAGGGUGCAAGCGUUGUCCGGAUUUAUUGGGCGUAAAGGGUGCGUAGGCGGCCCGUUAAGUCAGUGGUGAAAGCCUCCAGCUCAACUGGAGAACUGCCAUUGAUACUGACGGGCUUGAGUACAGACGAGGUAGGCGGAAUUGAUUGUGUAGCGGUGAAAUGCAUAGAUACAAUCAAGAACUCCGAUUGCGUAGGCAGCUUACUAGGCUGUAACUGACGCUGAGGCACGAAAGCGUGGGGAGCGAACAGG
rnacentral:rRNA from 1 species